GUGCUCACUUCAGCAGCACAUAGACUCAAAUUAGAACCAUACAGAUAUUAGCAUGGCCGCAGUGCACGAAUGACAUGCAAAUUCAUGAGGUGUUCCAUAAAAAC